rnacentral:misc_RNA from 1 species
GAUGAAGAACGUAGCGAAAUGCGAUAAGUAAUGCGAAUUGCAGAAUCCGUGAAUCAUCGAAUCUUUGAACGCACAUUGCGCCCGCCAGUACUCUGGCGGGCAUGCCUGUCCGAGCGUCAUUUCAACCCUCAGGGCCCUCCAGCAGGGCGCUGGUGUUGGGGAUCGGCAGUCCCAGCGGCUGCCGUCCCUGAAAUGUAGUGGCGGUCCCACCGUGACCUCCCCUGUGCAGUACAUCGCUCGCAGAGGGACAGCGGUGCGGCCACGCCGUAAAACGCCCAACUCUUCAAGGUUGACCUCGGAUCAGGUAGGACUACCCGCUGAACUUAAGCAUAUCAAUAAGCGGAGGA